UGGAACUGAGUCCUUGUCUACAGGGGAAGGU
rnacentral:piRNA from 1 species